AUAUACUAAAAAAAAAAAAAAAAAAAAUUGGAAUGAUACAGAGAAGAUUAGCAUGGCCCCUGCGCUAGGAUGACAUGCAAAUUAGUGAAGUGUUCCCGUCGUGG
ensembl:snRNA U6 U6 spliceosomal RNA